rnacentral:rRNA from 1 species
AUACGGAGGAUCCGAGCGUUAUCCGGAUUUAUUGGGUUUAAAGGGAGCGUAGAUGGAUGUUUAAGUCAGUUGUGAAAGUUUGCGGCUCAACCGUAAAAUUGCAGUUGAUACUGGAUAUCUUGAGUGCAGUUGAGGCAGGCGGAAUUCGUGGUGUAGCGGUGAAAUGCUUAGAUAUCACGAAGAACUCCGAUUGCGAAGGCAGCCUGCUAAGCUGCAACUGACAUUGAGGCUCGAAAGUGUGGGUAUCAAACAGGAUUGGAUACCCUGGUAGUCCACACGGUAAACGAUGAAUACUCGCUGUUUGCGAUAUACAGCAAGCGGCCAAGCGAAAGCGUUAAGUAUUCCACCUGGGGAGUACGCCGGCAACGGUGAAACUCAAAUGAAUUGACG